rnacentral:piRNA from 1 species
UCAAAUCAGAUAAUAAAUGAA